AAAGGAAUUGACGGGGAGCACCACAACGGGUGGAGCUUGCGGUUUAAUUUGGGAUUCAACGCCGGAAAUCUUACCGGGACGACAGCAAUAUGAAGGCCAGGCUGAAGACUUUGCCGGAUUAGCUGAAAGGUGGUGCAUGGCCGUCGUCAGUUCGUACUGUGAAGCAUCCUGUUAAGUCAGGCAACGAGCGAGACCCACGCCCACAGUUGCCAGCGUACUCUCUGGAGUGACGGGUACACUGUGGGACCGCCGCUGCUAAAGCGGAGGAAGGAAUGGGCAACGGUAGGUCAGUAUGCCCCGAAUAUCCCGGGCUACACGCGAGCUACAAUGGUUGGUACAAUGGGUAUCUACCCCGAAAGGGGACGGGAAUCUCCUAAAACCAAUCUUAGUUCGGAUUGAGGGCUGCAACUCGCCCUCAUGAAGCUGGAAUCCGUAGUAAUCGCGUUUCAACAGAACGCGGUGAAUACGUCCCUGCUCCUU
rnacentral:rRNA from 1 species